GUGCUGCUUCAGCAGUACAAAUACUAAAAUUGGAAUAAUACAGAGCAGACUAACAUGUGCCCUGCACAAGGAUGACACGCAAAUUGAAGUGUCCCAUAGGUUU
ensembl:snRNA U6 U6 spliceosomal RNA